AGUGAACGCUGGCGGUAGGCCUAACACAUGCAAGUCGAACGGCAGCACAGAGGAGCUUGCUCCUUGGGUGGCGAGUGGCGGACGGGUGAGGAAUACAUCGGAAUCUACUCUGUCGUGGGGGAUAACGUAGGGAAACUUACGCUAAUACCGCAUACGACCUACGGGUGAAAGCAGGGGAUCUUCGGACCCUGCGCGAUUGAAUGAGCCGAUGUCGGAUUAGCUAGUUGGCGGGGUAAAGGCCCACCAAGGCGACGAUCCGUAGCUGGUCUGAGAGGAUGAUCAGCCACACUGGAACUGAGACACGGUCCAGACUCCUACGGGAGGCAGCAGUGGGGAAUAUUGGACAAUGGGCGCAAGCCUGAUCCAGCCAUACCGCGUGGGUGAAGAAGGCCUUCGGGUUGUAAAGCCCUUUUGUUGGGAAAGAAAUCCAGCCGGCUAAUACCUGGUUGGGAUGACGGUACCCAAAGAAUAAGCACCGGCUAACUUCGUGCCAGCAGCCGCGGUAAUACGAAGGGUGCAAGCGUUACUCGGAAUUACUGGGCGUAAAGCGUGCGUAGGUGGUUAUUUAAGUCCGUUGUGAAAGCCCUGGGCUCAACCUGGGAACUGCAGUGGAUACUGGAUGACUAGAAUGUGGUAGAGGGUAGCGGAAUUCCUGGUGUAGCAGUGAAAUGCGUAGAGAUCAGGAGGAACAUCCAUGGCGAAGGCAGCUACCUGGACCAACAUUGACACUGAGGCACGAAAGCGUGGGGAGCAAACAGG
rnacentral:rRNA from 1 species